AGGCGAAGUAUACAUAUAUACCUAAAUUAUGAUUUUAUAUUUUAUUUGACAUUUUUCUGUCUCUAAGUCUCUUCUUUCAUCUCUUUAUUCCUCAGUAUCUACACUUAACAACGAGGAGACCUUGUAUGAAGAAAGGAAGGCCUGAAAGAGUUCUGUAGAACAAGACUCCACACUUCUGUCUCUCACAUCAACCAUCAGUGGGGACUGUGGUCACGUAUACCAUGAGGUCGUUACAAAAGCAUCCCACUUUAUUUGUUGAUACUGGAUUUCAUGUCAGUAAAUAGAGUGAGACAGUGUUUGGAAAAAAUAAAUAUAAUAAGACAAUGCAAGAGGGAAAUAAAAGCAUUUGAGCAGUGGGGAGAUUAUCUCUAGUCUUUCUGAAAGGAAAAAAACCUCAACAAUAAAAAUAAAGCUGUUCAGCGAGUGUCACAUUCAUCCAGGCUUCAGUCUCAUCGUAAAGUGAGAGCAUUGAACUAGAUGGUCUUCGGAAGGUCUAAGAGAUGAUAUUCACCAGAGGCACUUGGAAAGGCAGUCCCCACAAUUUCUCUGAGAGAUGGGACACGAUUCCUCAUUGAUUAUGAGUGGUUAAAGUAAAUGUUACUUUCCUGAAUUCUCUUGAACUCCCUGAAUUGCCCGGUCUAGUCUAGGUCUAGGAAAGCAUCAUAAUGAGACCUUCAAGUAUCUAAAGACAGCAUUAAUGUUCUCACUAGGCAGGAUUAUGUUUCUAGGUAGAAUGUGGUACUUUCAAGGCUGGAAGAUUAUUCAGUAAGUUUUAGGCUGAACCACCCAGAGAGUUCUAAGGCCCCUAGUGCUUUUAGUCAUAAUUCUGCCUUGUGUGUUCACAUGUGCACUUGUAUUUGUGUUUUUGGAGUGAUUCUAGCCAAAACUGAAAAGUACAUAAGGGCGUCUUUAGGGUCAUGGAAUCUCAGCUAAGGUUGAAGAACCAGAGGGAAGAAGGUGAUGCAUUUGCUAAAUUAAGGUAAUUCAAGAUUAACCAGAUUCAAGAGUGA
rnacentral:lncRNA from 1 species